GGAUAGAGGAAGAACUUGGCUGACUGGCACAGAUUACAGCUUCUUAUCCAGAAAACAAGUUGGCUCAAAUCACCAAAAGAUCCUUUGCUACUCUAAGGAUUUAAUUGAAACAUACUUAUUUAAAAGCAGCCAGCAGAGGUGGGAGGGAUGUCUCAGUGGUUAAGACCAUUGGCUGCUCUUGCAGAGCAGGAUUAGAUCCUCAACACCCAGGUGGUGCCCCAUAACCAUCUGUAACUCCAGUUCCUGAUGAUCCCACAUCUUCUGGUCUCUGAUGGUACCAGACAGACACAUGUUACUCAGACAAACAUGCAGACAAAACAUCUAUAUGUAUAAAAUGAAAUAAAAAUAAACUAAAUUAAAUUUCAGUUAUAAACUUAACUACCUGGGUUCAUAAAUAUAUAAUUUACAUUUAACAAUGUGGUUAUUGAUUCUUUUAGAUCUAUGCACCAGCAAGAUUUUGCUUUGUAAUAAGGAUAUCUUGUAAAAUUUGGUGUAAUUGACAUAAGAAGGAAUGUUCUAAACAUAGUGUUUCCAACCCUGAGUUUUAUAUCUAUUUUAGCAGUAUGAUCUAAUACUGUGAAACCACAAACUACUGUACAUGAAUCCUUUCUGCUCAAUUAUAAGGGGGUCAUACAUUCAACCUUCUGUCUUUUGUGUUUGAGUCUAUUUGCACAACAUGUAUACCCAGAGAAAGCAUCAGCUUCCAUGGGUUAAUCAAGAGGUUGCUGUAUUAAUAGGUUUCACACUUCAUUGAUUUUUAAUUAAUUUCAGGAGAGACACAGAGGAUAACUACUACAGCCCACAAACAUCUCCUUUCUCAUUGCAAUCUACAUCUUUAUUGAUCGGCUGCUUAAGGAGCAGAAGUAAUCCAUUUUAAGUGCACCUCCCUGUGAGACUGCCUGCCCAGUGAUGCUCCACAGUUCAUUCCUCCCAUUGUUGGCUAGAGGUCACUGACUGGCAGGGGACUGCUGUGGUCAGGUGACUACUCUCCUGGUCCAAGCAGAUGAGCUUUUGUCUCUACAUUAAUUCCUUAGGAAAAUAAAAGCAUCUCAUUCUGCCUUGUUUACAUCACUUUUUCAUUUCAUUGGGAAGAGUGAUUAAAUCUGAUAUUUAAAGAAAAUACAGGAAACCAGAGGGAAAAGUUCUGCUAUAUUCCCCAGCUCUAGACAUCUGUAGGUGGAUUUCCAUUCAUUCUUUUGAUACUCAAAUCCCAAAGUCUGGGGUUAUCCUAAUUGCUGAAGGAUUCAUCUUUUCCAUACUACCAUCAGUGGUGUAAAUUUAAAAUCAACUGAGCUUCACCAUAAAGAAAAAUUGUUCGUGCCAGACAGUCUUACAAAAUUGUGGCCUCUGGUUCAUUAAAUCCAGCCAUAAACUUGAAUUUAGUGCUGGUUUGAACCAUAGAAGACACAUGGUCAAAUGAACAAAUACAACAGAGUCUGGUUCCUAGUAACACAGUAACUAUAAAGCUCUGUGUUUGUGAUAAUGGAGUAUAAAGAAAUAAACUAUGGCUAGGCAUGCUAGCACCUGCCCGAAAUUUCUAUACUUGGAAGGUAAAAGCAGAAAGAUUGAGGCACGUUCAAGGUCAGCUUGAUCUGUAGUGCUAAACUGACUCAAACAAACAAAAAGAAACCUACUUUAUAAAAUAUUAUACAUAAAUUGUAUACAAUACGCAAUACUUGUUCAUGAUAAUAUGUGGCAAGUUUACUGGCUCGUAUAUUUACUACUCCUUUAUCAUUACUGUAGUUUAUUCCAUCUAUUUAGAAAAAUCAUAUGCCUAAAUGAUAGUCAUUGCAGUGACUCAUAAGAACUUGUCAGUGUGUGGAGAACAAAGAUUGCUGAGUGCUGGGCUCUAAAUGGGUAUCCGUAUAGGCUCAGGGAACAUUACAGAAGAAGGAAUGGGAAGAAUGUUAAGAGCUGCAGGAUGGGAAGGAGUGCUACUCCCUUCUGUACAGAACCUGGAUGUUGCAUCCAUGAGGAUGUACUAGAAUGGGCCUAUCAAUAUUCUAUCCAGAUACGACAAGAGAUCAUAAGACUCCAACUCUCCUAGAGAGGCUAUAGGAAGUUACAAGUUGCAGAAAGAGAGGGAGUCAUAGUCCUCAGAAAUGAAGCUAGUAACACAUUGCUCCAUGUAAACAAAUAACCCUCACCUGAGUUUAUACAAGCAACCCUAAUUAAAUAUUAUCACACACACGCACACACACACACAGACUCACACAUCAUGUGCAUUUUUCUGUGAUAAUAUAUGCAUAAUUAAAGGUAUAUUUAUUUUUAUAUAUUUAUGUAUUUAUAAAUAUUAUAUGUAAACUAAUUUAAGAAUUUUUUUGAGGCAAGGUCUUACAAUGUAACUCCAACUGUCUAAGAACUCACUUGGUAGACCAGGCUGACCUUGGACUCACAGAGAUAGGACUACCUCUGCCACCCAAAUGCUGCCUUUAAAGACAUGUGCCACCACAUCUAGAAAAUCUACUUUCUUUUCCUUAUUGAGAUUAAUUAUAUUUUCAAUAAGAAGAAUGAAUUUGAGGUUAUGUGUUUGUUGGACAGAUUCCUCUUAGAAUAUUGGAUAUUGUAAGUCUUUUCAUUAUAUGAUGCACCUGAAUCCUCAGGAUAAUCUAAGAGGGAAGGGAAGGAAACAGACAGAUGAUGGUUGAAGAGAUUGAGUUCACUUUCCUAGUGAGUAGCUAUCAUUUAUUUCUGUAGUCUGCUGUCUUAAAUUUAGGAUGAGUCCAACUUACUUUUAUGAGAAUAUAUUCAAGUCCCUUACCAAAUAAACAUUGAAAGAGAAUUGUCCACUCUACCUAUUUCUAUUGCUGGACUUUCUUAGCCCAGAAGUGUUUAAAUAAUGACAUAGAGACUUAUUAGUUUUCAUCAUAACUCAGGCCUUAGCUUAGGCUACCUCCCAGAUAGCUCAUCUAAUGUAAUAAACCUGACUAUAUUAGCCUAUGUCUGCAUGUGGACCACUACCUCUCUCUCACUCUGGGCAUGUCUGACCUCCUCUGUGUCACACUGGGAAAUCUUCCUGCACCUGAUUCUUCCCACAGUCUCUAUCUCUGCCCAGAAGUCCUGCCUUCCCUUUCUUUCCUCAGCCACUGGCUGUCUAUUUUGAUUAAGCCAAUCAAAAGUGAGGAAGGGAUAUGUUUACAAAAUACGGAGGCAGGUGAUGUCUAAUGAUGUUAGUCAUGAGACUAACAAUACCAAAGUCCAGAUAAUACUCAGUUCUCUCUGUACAGAAAUCAACAUUUAGAUAAUAAAAAGACAAUAUUUAGACAAUAUACAAAAAUGUUACCCCAACAUAUUUCCUACUCUCUGUGUCUAGUAUUGGACUAAUAUUUAGUAUUUAAGAAUAGCUAUAUUUAAUAAUUCCUUCCAAAUUAAAAAAUGCUAGAGGUAACAUCAGAGAUAGUUUAAAAUGUUCUGUCAUGUUUAUAGUUUGUAUGAGACAGAUACCUAUUACCAUACGCUAUUUAGCAAUGUGCCAACUAAUUCUACCCAACAACCUUCCAUUCUGUGCGCUUUCUACCACAAAACAGAGUAGAUGGGAUUUUUCCCUACUUGGCUUUUUCUCAGAGCCUCCAUAGUAUCAACUCAUGCCUAAUUGGAAUACAUUAAGGGACUUCUCAAAACAAAAAC
rnacentral:lncRNA from 1 species